ACAUGCAAGUCGAGGGGAAACGACAUCGAAAGCUUGCUUUUGAUGGGCGUCGACCGGCGCACGGGUGAGUAACGCGUAUCCAACCUGCCCACCACUUGGGGAUAACCUUGCGAAAGUAAGACUAAUACCCAAUGACGUCUCUAGAAGACAUCUGAAAGGGAUUAAAGAUUUAUCGGUGAUGGAUGGGGAUGCGUCUGAUUAGCUUGUUGGCGGGGUAACGGCCCACCAAGGCUACGAUCAGUAGGGGUUCUGAGAGGAAGGUCCCCCACAUUGGAACUGAGACACGGUCCAAACUCCUACGGGAGGCAGCAGUGAGGAAUAUUGGUCAAUGGACGAGAGUCUGAACCAGCCAAGUAGCGUGCAGGAUGACGGCCCUAUGGGUUGUAAACUGCUUUUAUAAGGGAAUAAAGUGAGCCUCGUGAGGCUUUUUGCAUGUACCUUAUGAAUAAGGACCGGCUAAUUCCGUGCCAGCAGCCGCGGUAAUACGGAAGGUCCGGGCGUUAUCCGGAUUUAUUGGGUUUAAAGGGAGCGUAGGCCGGAGAUUAAGCGUGUUGUGAAAUGUAGAUGCUCAACAUCUGCACUGCAGCGCGAACUGGUUUCCUUGAGUACGCACAAAGUGGGCGGAAUUCGUGGUGUAGCGGUGAAAUGCUUAGAUAUCACGAAGAACUCCGAUUGCGAAGGCAGCUCACUGGAGCGCAACUGACGCUGAAGCUCGAAAGUGCGGGUAUCGAACAGGAUUAGAUACCCUGGUAGUCCGCACGGUAAACGAUGGAUGCCCGCUGUUGGUCUGAAUAGGUCAGCGGCCAAGCGAAAGCAUUAAGCAUCCCACCUGGGGAGUACGCCGGCAACGGUGAAACUCAAAGGAAUUGACGGGGG
rnacentral:rRNA from 1 species